CACAUGACUCUCGGCAACGGAUAUCUCGGCUCUCGCAUCGAUGAAGAACGUAGCAAAAUGCGAUACCUGGUGUGAAUUGCAGAAUCCCGUGAACCAUCGAGUUUUUGAACGCAAGUUGCGCCCGAGACCUUUUGGUUGAGGGCACGUCUGCCUGGGCGUCACGC
rnacentral:rRNA from 3 species